rnacentral:rRNA from 1 species
GAUGAACGCUAGCUACAGGCUUAACACAUGCAAGUCGAGGGGCAGCAUGGUCUUAGCUUGCUAAGGCCGAUGGCGACCGGCGCACGGGUGAGUAACACGUAUCCAACCUGCCGUCUACUCUUGGACAGCCUUCUGAAAGGAAGAUUAAUACAAGAUGGCAUCAUGAGUUCACAUGUUCACAUGAUUAAAGGUAUUCCGGUAGACGAUGGGGAUGCGUUCCAUUAGAUAGUAGGCGGGGUAACGGCCCACCUAGUCUUCGAUGGAUAGGGGUUCUGAGAGGAAGGUCCCCCACAUUGGAACUGAGACACGGUCCAAAACUCCUACGGGAGGCAGCAGUGAGGAAUAUUGGUCAAUGGGCGAGAGCCUGAACCAGCCAAGUAGCGUGAAGGAUGACUGCCCUAUGGGUUGUAAACUUCUUUUAUAAAGGAAUAAAGUGAGUCUCGUGAGACUUUUUGCUAUGUACCUUAUGAAUAA